CCUACGGGUGGCAGCAGUGGGGAAUAUUGCACAAUGGGGGCAACCCUGAUGCAGCGACGCCGCGUGAGCGAAGAAGUAUUUCGGUAUGUAAAGCUCUAUCAGCAGGGAAGAAAAUGAUGGUACUUGAGUAAGAAGCUCCGGCUAAAUACUGGCCAGCAGCCGCGGUAAUACGUAGGGAGCAACCGUUAACCGGAUUUACUGGGCGUAAGGGUAGCGGAGGCGGCUUGCCAAGUCUGAUGUGAAAUACCGGGGCUCAACCCCGGGGCUGCAUUGGAAACUGAGAGACUGGAGUGCCGGAGAGGCAGGCGGAAUUCCUAGUGUAGCGGUGAAAUGCGUAGAUAUGAGGAGGAACACCAGUGGCGAAGGCGGCCUGCUGGACGGUGACUGACGCUGAGGCUCGAAAGCGUGGGGAGCAAACAGGAUUAGAUACCCUUGUAGUC
rnacentral:rRNA from 1 species